rnacentral:rRNA from 1 species
UACGUAGGGUGCAAGCGUUAAUCGGAAUUACUGGGCGUAAAGCGUGCGCAGGCGGUUAUGUAAGACAGAUGUGAAAUGCCCGGGCUUAACCUGGGAACUGCAUUUGUGACUGCAUGGCUAGAGUUUGGCAGAGGGGGGUAGAAUUCCACGCGUAGCAGUGAAAUGCGUAGAUAUGUGGAGGAACACCGAUGGCGAAGGCAGCCCCCUGGGUCAAGACUGACGCUCAUGCACGAAAGCGUGGGGAGCAAACAGG